rnacentral:rRNA from 1 species
GACGUAGGGCGCGAGCGUUGUCCGGAUUUAUUGGGCGUAAAGAGCUCGUAGGCGGCUUGUUGCGUCGACUGUGAAACCCGCGGCUUAACUGCGGGCUUGCAGUUGAUACGGGCAGGCUAGAGUUCGGUAGGGGAGACUGGAAUUCCUGGUGUAGCGGUGAAAUGCGCAGAUAUCAGGAGGAACACCGGUGGCGAAGGCGGGUCUCUGGGCCGAUACUGACGCUGAGGAGCGAAAGCGUGGGGAGCGAACAGG